GUAUUUUCUUUGACAGCACAUAUAUUAAAAUUGGAAUGAUACAGAGAAUAUUAGCAUGUCCCCUAUGCAAGGAUGACAUGUGAAUUCAUGAAGCAUUCCGUAUUUUU
rnacentral:snRNA from 1 species